CAGCGGUGUUGCGUAUCCAAUUAAUAUGUUAUGACAAAACUUUGGGCUAUAUACUUAUAUUCAUCAGCUAUCUAUAUUAUUUUUAUUAAUGUUAGUUAGCUUAUGGUUUUUGUGUAUCAUUGUAUGUCAUCUUUAACUCCAAAGAGAGAUGGAUGAACUAAUAAAUCCAAGCUAAACCUGUUUAUUGAAAUAGGCAUUGUGUAAGCUUAAUAGUUUAACAUAUAUAUGGAUAUUACCUGAAAAAUAGUAUUUCUG
rnacentral:lncRNA from 1 species